rnacentral:rRNA from 1 species
UACGUAGGGUGCGAGCGUUAAUCGGAAUUACUGGGCGUAAAGCGCGUGUAGGCGGCUCUUCAAGUCAGACGUGAAAGCCCCGGGCUUAACUCGGGAACUGCGUUUGAUACUGUCGAGCUAGAGUGUGGAAGGGGCGAUUGGAAUUCCGUGUGUAGCGGUGAAAUGCGUAGAUAUACGGAGGAACACCAGAGGCGAAGGCGGAUCGCUGGGCCAACACUGACGCUGAGACGCGAAAGCUAGGGGAGCAAACGGG